rnacentral:lncRNA from 1 species
AUGAGGGGAGCCCAGGACAAAGAGGGCUCAGACAGAAGCCAGGCCCAAAGGGCUCGCACUCGGAGCCCAGGAGGGCCCACGUGGGACCGGCUGUGCCCGUCUUGCCGCUCGAAAAGGCACAGGAGGAGAAGAAGAGAAACGUACCUGGGAAAAGUCCCAGAACGGCGGAACUCAAUCCGGCAGGCAUCCCCUGCGCACCUACUAUGUGCCGGCCAGAAAGACGCACCCACGCCGGGCCCCAUUUCCCCAGUUUGCACUCUACUGGGCAGAGACCAAAUGCACAAAGACACGUGCAGGGAGCCUUCCUGGAGGAGGUGUCCCCUGAGCCGAGUUGGAGCGGGUCGGUGCAGAUGGCCACAGAGAGCGCGAGUCCAACAGAAAGGCUGGCGGCAGCCGGAGAAGGGCUUACCCGAAGGGAGAUGGCACGUGGGGGAAGGAGUGCCCGGGGGGAGGGGAGGCUCACUGAGGAAGGGGCUGCCCCUGGGCGCAGGGAGGCCCGAUGAGGGGAAAGAAGAGGACGGAGAGGAGGCCUGUCCCGAGCCCGGCAGGAGUCACUCGACAGAGGCCCCGACUAGGCCCCCGAGCAGAGAUGCCCCGAGACGUCUCGCUGCACGGCUGGGCCGGGGCAGCGUCACCCUCCUGGCCCGCCUCCUCCGGCCCAGCCUGGCACACACGUGGGUCCCCCUCGGAUCCCCCGAGCACAGGCGUCUCCCCUCCUCGGCUCCUUCUGGCCCUCGUUUCCCCUGCAGAGCGAGUGCGUCUCCAGCUCCCCGGGAGGGGCCGCCCCCAAGCGGAUCCCCAGGAGGCCACACGCCGAGUGAAGGGCACCCAAAGGGGCUGGAAGACCCAGGCGAGCCGGCCUGUGAGCUCCCACCCUGGGAAGACGGACCUGGGCCUGGGGAGAGAGAGCUGGGAGGCGCUGGAGCCCGGGCACAAGGCAGCACUGAGACAGGCUGCGGCCUCCCUGUGGAGGCUGGCCCCGAAGCCUCUGGUGCCUGUCAUGGAGGGUGUUCCUGGGACCCCGGACCUGGGGUGAUCUUCUGCCCACUUUACAGAGGAGAAGACCGGAGCGGACAAGCCUGGGGCUCCCCGGGAGGGGGGGCAGCCUCCAGGGCACGGCUGGGCCGGAGGGAGGCCAAAGUCACAGCUGUUCCCGUCCGCCUGGCGGCCGCUCAGAAGGCCUUCUGA